UCCAUGAGUUUAUGACCAUAGCAAUGUGAUUAAUGAAAAAAAUUUUAUUUGUAAUCACUAUUAGACUUGAGCUGAUCGAAUCUAUCAUAUGAUUGAUGAUGAGGUUUGACGAUUUAUCCAUGACCUAUCUAGUCGGAACUCACGAUAGAGGGACUGUAUUACACAUUAACUACUCAUAGUGAUUUUAUUUCGAUUUUGCUAGGUUGCCACUAUAUAUUGGUAGAUGUCACUGGUGGAUUGUGAGAGGUCAAUAGGAUCGUUCUGGAUCAAUGAUCUUUGUCGAGUUAGAGUAGAACUGUUCCGACCCAUUGAAAGGAGUUUCAGUGAUACUAUGAUAGAGAUCAUGGUAUGUCUCACUAUCAGACAGAAUUGAACUUAUGGGAUCACACAUUAAAGGGAGAAG
rnacentral:lncRNA from 1 species